UACGUAGGGGACAAGCGUUGUCCGGAAUUAUUGGGCGUAAAGAGCUUGUAGGCGGUUUGUCGCGUCUGCUGUGAAAUUUCGGGGCUCAACCCCGAACUUGCAGUGGGUACGGGCAGACUAGAGUGUGGUAGGGGAGACUGGAAUUCCUGGUGUAGCGGUGAAAUGCGCAGAUAUCAGGAGGAACACCGAUGGCGAAGGCAGGUCUCUGGGCCAUAACUGACGCUGAGAAGCGAAAGCAUGGGGAGCGAACAGG
rnacentral:rRNA from 1 species